ensembl:lncRNA
UAUAUAUAUAUAUAUAUAAUGGGAACCCAGGGAGGCCAGAUUCAGGGAUAAAACAGGAGGCUCUGGGACUUUAAUCAUAUGACAAAAAGGGUCAUUUUAAUAACAAGGUCAGGUUAAGGGCGCUUAGGCCAACAAUAAGGGUCCUCCCGCUGUGGGUCAGUGACUCCACGGGGUAAACGGGCGCAGGAGCCUGCAGGGCCUGCCUGCGUCUGUCUUCCCCAGCUGCUGCUCAGCUCCCUGAAUAUACCCCCCCCCUCCAAAUAGCCGAUGUGCUGCAGGUGUGAACAAUGCCACGUGCCUCGAGAUGUUGUUAUGGUACUUUCUGCACCACAGAGAAAACAUAUACACCCAUGUACCAUACACCCGACUGCAAGCCUUUAUUUUCGGCAGCUCAGUCAGUGGUUGCGUCGUCGUACCGUGUCCGGCCCCCAAGAGACCCGUAUUUGUGUCCUGUCUUUAACCAAAAGUAAGAACCGACUUAUUUUAACUUUACCCAAAUUGAAUAACGGCUACUCAUAACUGUACCUUUACUCCUAAAGAUGGUAAAGGAGUCUUUAAGUGUUAGACUAUGCGUGUUUAAACCUGGAGCUGUUGUAUGUGUAACAUAAUGAGCCAUUUCCAUACGUGUAUGUGCAUUAUGCAUUCAGGACUAAUGGGGAGGGUUCUAUGGGUUCACCUCACUCCCCUCUGGCUGCAGAGAAGAUGCCGUAUGCAUACAUGUGUGUUUGUGUACCAGUGACGUGCGGUGAGGUCCUGAGUCUUUCAGAGUGAGAUUCACGAAUAUAGUAAUUCAACAAAGUAGCAUAAAUAUACAUAUAUAAGUAUAUAUUUUUUAAUCAUUGUUUUUUUUCUACAUUUCAUGGUGACAUAGGAGAGGCACUGCCUCCAGUGACCGCACAUUACUGUUACUUUGUACUUUUGGUGGUCAGUGUCUGCAUGUGUGGGACGAAUGACCUCGGCCUCAUGGCCCUCAGCAUAUUUUUCUCCUUAAUAAUCUUGCUGUCUCUGUGUGCAGGUGCGUGAGGAUUUAACACGGCAUCGUCAAGUCUGUUCCAUGUAGCUCACACGCCUUGUGUGAGUGUCCUCAGGAAUGCUUGCACGUAACCUGGACGGGUCAGUGGCCGGUGUGUUUGCACCCCACAAUCCCUACAGUGCAACUAACCCCAGCAGCUACAUCCGCACAUCUCCGCGUCAGGAACGUGUCCUCUUUAUUUAUUUAAAGCUCCACUGAACAAUAUUUCUUCAUAUUAUAUUUGAUCAAAAUGUUGUGUUUGCCCACUCGCAGUAACAAAAAAUAUUCUCAUUUGCUCUGAACAUUCUGCAGAGCUUUUAAGCUCUCUUUAGUUUUAUUUUUUAUUCUAUAUCGAUGCCAAAAACUAUUUUUUGGAGGUGUAAUAAUUGACCUACAUUCAUCAGGGAGACACAUAAAAAAAAGACAACUGCUCUGUAUCCAUAAGCGGUUUUUCUUGUUUGCCUGCGUUAUUGUGGAUUAAUGCAGCUUUAGACAAAACAAAGUUUGCUAAUCGUUGCAGUGGCGGCGGGUGGAUAUUUUUUUUGUAGGGCCAGCCAAUCAGUUCCAGUAAACAUCCCAGGAUUCAAUGCAAAAAAAGGUAAUAAACACGCAUUAUUACUUUGCAGUAAUAACGAGGACCAGAAAUCCAAGGUUUCUGGAUCAUAAAUACAUUGUGCAUUGCUUUUUUGCACCCUGAUCUAUUGUUGUCCUUCCAUCUUCUGUGUGAAUAGUACAGCCCGUGAACGCCUACUAGGUUUCGUGUCUCUGCCAAUACAAACUCUUAAGCAGUUAUUGGUGGCUGAAGCCUUCCUAUCAUCAUGAUAUCGUGUUCCCCAAAGGAAAAACAAAGAGAACCUGAGCUUUCAUUUGUGGUCUCCUUGUUUUAUUGUUAGUGGCUCGAUCCACCUUUAGAGGCACUGACUGUAAAAGCACACACUGUGGACAUACAUUGGUUGGAGAAUAUUACUUUUGUCCUACUGGCCCAAAGUCCAAGAAACUCCAGACUGCUGUUUCUUGUGUCUGCACAAGUAAUAACCCUUUUACCCAAACCCCGAUUACUGCCCCUCAGAUUGGGUGUAGAAUUUAUUUUUAUCUGUAUUGAUGG